CAUUUUUACUGGCAGAUUUUAGCUUCAUGUUUCUCUUGCAAAGAAGGCACUUCAUCCUCUUCUUCAGGAGUUUUUUCUUCUGCAGCCACCUAAUCAGCUUUAUUGUUUUCUUUUUUGUUUGUCUUCCCUCAACAUGGCAAAGUAACUUUCUUGGUAAAGACAUGGUAUCUUGAAAAGUAAAAAAAAAAAAAAAAAGAAAAAACACUUAUUCAGCCUCAUGUUUUUACAGUAAUGGACAUAUUUUUGUAAUUUAUUUAGUAUUAUGACUUAUUAAGUGUUACCAAUCUAAUUACAGGCUUAAUAUAAUGCUUAACUGACAGUGUCGAGAAAGAAUAAAACAAGAUGGACCCACUUUAUAUUAAGUGUUCCCAUGAUUCAAUGAUUCAAAAGAUAAAUGAUAAUUUUUCGCGAGAGCUCAUAAUGCAAUUUAAAAACAACUUACGAUCCAGUGGAGUCCGUCUCUGCAGGUGUAAAGUAGAUGACUCUUCAGUGUCAAUUUUAAUUAAGUAAAGCUGGACUAAACACUAAACUUGCGCACAAUCAUAAUUAGUGCGCUCAAUUCUACCCAUCCCCCAAAGGUUUCGUUAAAGAAAAAAAAGAAAAAAGAAAAAGCAAACGUCUGAUUGGCCCAUUGCAUGCAAUCAGUCAUUCCCAUAAGACAUUUUACUGGUUGUAAGAUUUCAAACAGAGAAAUGCAGAUCAUUAUAUAAACGUAAAUUCCAAGCCAACAAUAUUUGGGCCAUAUGGGUUAUAUUCAAGUGGCAUUCCAAAUUGUAAAAGUUACACAGAAAGCAAAAAUAUCAAUAUAUCAAGUUUAUACGACAAGAAUAUUCGCCUGUUAAGGAGGGAUAAUGAUACCUCAUUGGUCCUCAUCACGUUAAGUCCACCAAUAGGCGCGACUCUCAGGAAUACGUCACAUAUUCGCAAUUUUCAACUCAGAGCCGUUAACGGUCAGUUGUUUCAACUGAAAGGACAAACGGCGCGCAUUUGCCUGAAGUCAUCCUCGUCUGUCGUUAAAGCUUUAAGAUAAGUUGGACUGUAAGCAAUAAAGAGAAAGCAACAGGCGUUUUAGGCAUGCUAUUGCAGAAUUCAGCUUACACUUUUAGUCAUUGUUCAUUUAAUAUAAUACUUAUCUUUUCCAAAAGAGCCAGCAUAAAGGCAAUGGAUGAGGCAAGUUCAGUCGGCACUUCUGCCCCUCCCGAAAAUGAACGUCCAAAACGAACAAUUAAAAAAAGAGAGAGAUUCCAGAUCAUUUGAUGACCAAAUCUAAAAAAGUCAAGACGGAAGAUUGCUCAAAGAAGUUGGCGCCAACUGCUGAACAACUGAUCAACAAACACAAAAGGGAGAUUGACCUCUUAAAGGAGCGGGUCGAAGGUCAGAACAAUGUAAUCAAGGAACUGCAAUCUGAACGAGAUUUUCUGAGGCAGCGGGUUGCAUCUCUUACAGCAGCUAAACCAAAAGAGGAGAAACCCAAAAAAGGAGAACCAAUCACUGUGGAAGACAGUGACUCUUCCACUGAUGAUACAACCCUGUCCACUUCUUCCACCACAUCAUCUUCCACACCAUCCUCCUCUAAAAAAAAAAGAUAUAAAGAAGAUGAAGAAAAGAUACAAGAGUAAAUUGUCCUUGAAGAGUAUGCGGCGCAUUAGUACAGCAAAAGACGCAGUUCAGCGUUACACUUCAAUCCUGAAGACUUUCAAGAAAGUUGGUGUUAUGUCUAAGGCAUUCGAUAAACACAGAGUUGACAGAAAUACGGUGGUUUCAACUGCAGCAAUUGGAGAAGUGGCAAUUGCUGCCCCUGACCUGUUUAAAGAUUUAACUGACAGUGCACCACGAAAGGAAACUGUGCUAAACUUCGCAAAACGUUUCCAGGCUGUUAUCGAGGGGGACCUAAAAGAAAAGGUAGAAGGAAUGAAAGCAGAGGGGGAACUUCUCCCCAUUGGGAGGGCCAAGUGAAAAAAACAAAGUUUGAUGUAGGUCUUCAAGACUAUUUUCUUUUUCAUUCAAAUUUCUUUUCUUUUUUUUUUUCUUUUUCUUUUUUUUUUGGCUACAGGGAUUAUUUGUUAAGUGCACUUAAUUUUCUUCCAUAGUGCAUAUGUGUCUCUGCAUUUGCAGCGUUUUCUUUGUUUUGUUUUGUUUUAAUUUCUAUUCAAAACAUUCUAAACUUCCACUUGUUCCAUUCAGUAUUUCUAUUAACAGCACUAUGUGUUCUGUAUUUCCAAGGAGCUCCAUAUUUGUAGAUUUCCUUUACAUUUCUGUUCAAGGUUUGUUUGUAUUUAACAACACUUUAAAAGUACACCAAGUUUUUGAGGAGCUCUACAUCGAAAACUAGGUUAAGUUGUUAAGAGCACUGUAAUGUUCCUGUAUUUUGUUUCUCUGCAGUAUUUACCACCCAGUUGUAUUGUUUAUUUUACAAAAGUUAGUUUUAUUAAAAUUUGUACUAAAGAAAACUUAA